GUAGUCCACGCUGUAAACGAUGAUUACUAGGUGUGGGUGGACUGACCCCAUCCGUGCCGCAGUUAACACAAUAAGUAAUCCACCUGGGGAGUACGGCCGCAAGGUUGAAACUCAAAGGAAUUGACGGGGGCCCGCACAAGCAGUGGAGUAUGUGGUUUAAUUCGAAGCAACGCGAAGAACCUUACCAGGUCUUGACAUCGAGUGACGUAUCCAGAGAUGGGUAUUUCCUUCGGGACACGAAGACAGGUGGUGCAUGGUUGUCGUCAGCUCGUGUCGUGAGAUGUUGGGUUAAGUCCCGCAACGAGCGCAACCCUUGCUAUUAGUUGCUACGCAAGAGCACUCUAAUAGGA
rnacentral:rRNA from 1 species